GAAGCUCAGAAAUGACACAUAUGGCCAUGCUUACACUUUAAACGUGGUGAAGAAAAGACAUGAGGGUGUGAGUCUCCCAGAACACCGCUGCUCGUGACUGCUUCUUGCCUCAGGCUGGAGCUAGGAAAGGCUGCUCCCAGAAAGCUGUGAGGGAGCAAAAGGCUACAGGUACUAUAAGCUUUCUUCUUGGCAAGGAGGCUUAGCUGAUUCCUAGAAAUGAGCAAGCUGGCACCUACUUCUAGCAACAGACAAAUUUUAAGUAAUCCUGUGCCUAAAGUCUACAUACAUCUCAUGUUCUGGUUGUGGUAUAUCCUGAUUCAUCAAGUGGACACUCAAGAGCAAUACUACAAAUAAUAAUAUUUUAUUUAACAGUGUUUUCUAUAUUAAAUAGAAACUGAAACAUGCUGUGGGAAAUGGAAUUUUUUUUAAAUGAAACUUUGAUUUUAUUAAUUCAACUACAAGGCAUCUUAGAAUGUGACAGUCUGUUUUCUGGAUUAUUUUAUUCCUUAUAUACAGCAGCAAUGAAUGAUCUUCACCUCAUUAACUUUAUGUGUCUACAGUCUUGUGAUCAUGUCUGAAGCACAUCUGAACUUCCUUUGCUAUCAAUGGAGGGAAACAAGCACUUUCUAGUCUACCAUUCAUUUCAGAAAGCAACUUUAGCAUUAAGUGUGUCGCUUUGUAGAAACAGCCUUUUCAUUAUAUGAUAAAUGGACUCUAGAAAGCUAAUUCAGAUAUAUAUGUCCAGCCUUGGUCUUAUGAAUCAUGCUCCUGAUGCCUACACUAGACUGCCAUACACAUUUGGAAGAACAGCAUGACUGUUCCAGGUGCCUGACUUUCAGCUGGCUAUUACUGAGAAGCCAUGGGUUAAAGCAGUCUCUGAUUAGGAGGAAAAAAACAGUGAGAAGUCUGGAAAUAAGGGAUGUGCAGCACAUUAGGAAACACCAUUGA
rnacentral:lncRNA from 1 species